rnacentral:rRNA from 1 species
CCAGACUCCUACGGGAGGCAGCAGUGAGGAAUAUUGGUCAAUGGGCGGAAGCCUGAACCAGCCAAGUCGCGUGAGGGAAUAAGGCCCUACGGGUCGUAAACCUCUUUUGCCGGGGAGCAAGCGUGCGUUCGUGAACGCGCGUCGAGAGUACCCGGAGAAAAAGCAUCGGCUAACUCCGUGCCAGCAGCCGCGGUAAUACGGAGGAUGCGAGCGUUAUCCGGAUUUAUUGGGUUUAAAGGGUGCGUAGGCGGGAUGCCAAGUCAGCGGUAAAAAUGCGGUGCUCAACGCCGUCGAGCCGUUGAAACUGGCGUUCUUGAGUGGGCGAGAAGUAUGCGGAAUGCGUGGUGUAGCGGUGAAAUGCAUAGAUAUCACGCAGAACUCCGAUUGCGAAGGCAGCAUACCGGCGCUCAACUGACGCUCAUGCACGAAAGUGUGGGUAUCGAACAGGAUUAGAUACCCCUGUA